UACAAAGGGGGCUAGCGUUGUUCGGAAUUACUGGGCGUAAAGCGCACGUAGGCGGACUAUUAAGUCAGGGGUGAAAUCCCGGGGCUCAACCCCGGAACUGCCUUUGAUACUGGUAGUCUCGAGUCCGGAAGAGGUGAGUGGAAUUCCGAGUGUAGAGGUGAAAUUCGUAGAUAUUCGGAGGAACACCAGUGGCGAAGGCGGCUCACUGGUCCGGUACUGACGCUGAGGUGCGAAAGCGUGGGGAGCAAACAGG
rnacentral:rRNA from 1 species